AGGUGCCUUCGGUAAAGCUAAGGGGAUCUUCAAGCCAAAGCCAGGGAAAUCAAAAGGAAAACCUACGCCUGCUAACAAGACUGGUCUAAUCAAUGGCAAAAAGAAGGAUGGAAAUGGUAAAACCACUGUGGACACCUUUGCUAAUGCGGCUUUUACUGGGUAUUCUAACUCAGGAGAAGUUGAACGAAUGGAACCAUCUAGCAGACCUGGCCAGAUAAAAGGUCCUCACAACCUGGUAUACGCAGACACGGACUUCGUGGGCACCCAACCCAUCAUGCACCCUGCUGAGAACCCAACCACCUACGCCAGCAUUGCCUUUGGGCAGGUGGGACCUCCAGUUGAAUAUGACAAUGAUGAAGAGGACGGCCAUUCGAACAGUUCCUAAAGCUAAAUAGCUUAACAAUCUGCAAGAUAACCCCUGUGCUGCUCAGUAAGUCAGCGGAAAACUUGUGGCUUGGAACUCGACAUAUUCAAGUACUUAAGUCGCUUUCACACGGUAAGCUUGUCGAAUGAAAGGAUGAAUCGCGCUUUUUCAUGCGACUGUAACAUUUAACAGAUCGCACAGUUUGAACCUGAUUGAUGACUUCAUCAAUUUGUCGAAUUUAGCCAGUUCAGCGAGACGUGUAAACGCGGCUUUAUGCAGGUAUAUGUAUCUUUGUGUUAUUUUUUCUUCUUCCUUACCAUCGAAUGAAGUAUUAAUUGGAAGGAUGAAUUUGUUAACUACACGGUUUAGGGCCAUAUUAAUUGGCCUGAACAAAAAAGUGCUACUAACAGCGAUAUAAUUACAGCCGGACUAUAGAGACCUGUCCCUAUACUGACUUUUGCCUGUAAAUUGCACUGAAGUAAACCUUGUCGGUGUAGAGAGUGGCUGCUAGAUAUGACUUUUCUAAGGUUAAACAGAGUGUUGUCCGAAAAUUUAUUUUUGUUCAAAAUAGUAUGUUUGUUUUUCGUCCUCACACAACAAGAUGAAAAUCAAUGCAAAGAUUUCUCUGACGAUGUAACUCCAGACUUUGUUAAUAUCACUCAUACAUCAAAACAACAGCGGUUGAACGCAUAGGGCAUCACAUAAUAUGAGGGCCGUCGUCGGCAUUGAAAUAAUGCAUGUAUAUACUAACUCGUGUUAGCGGAAGUGUUAUUUUUUUCUUUAUUUCAUUUUUAUCCCAUAAACAAGAGAAAUUAUUAAACUAAACAUGAACAAUGUAAUUCGUGUAUAUUUUCAUUGUCUUUUUCAUUGUAAGUUUGGUUGUUCUUUGAUAAUUUGUAAAUGUAGUUCGGAGGUCCUAUACGUGAUCGGAUAGGCUGAUCUGAUGUUGUUGCUGAGCGUGACAGUUUAGCGCAUAUCGAUAUUGGCCUCUCCUAGAUGCAUCUGUGCGUCUAUUACUCCCACAAAUUUCACUGUAAACUGCAGUGCGUUGUGUAUUGUUCUUUGAGUUGAUAAAUGUGUUUAUUUCGUGUGUAUUCUCAGCAUGAGAUGUUUGACAUGAUUUGUUAGCACAUGCAUAUAUGUAUAUGAUAUUGAACAAAUUACUUUUAAGGUAUUUUAAUUUAGCCGAAUGCAGUUUGAACAAAAGCAAGCCUUAAGGGGCAUAUACUUACUACACAUAUUACACCAUGUUUAAACAGGAUUUAUAAGCGAUAAUUUUAAACACAUUAGUUUAAACAUUUACCUAGAAUUUGAGAUAUGCGUCAUAAUGUAUUUGGAUGCAAGCUGUGAUGUGCUGAUAUGUUCACACAUUCAUAUUACAGAUGUAGUUUUAUAUUAUAAGAUACGUUCUAUUUUCUACA